rnacentral:sRNA from 1 species
GGGAAACGUAUUCCGCUCGCUCAGGGAA